UACAGAGGGUGCGAGCGUUAAUCGGAAUUACUGGGCGUAAAGCGCGCGUAGGCGGCUUUGCAAGCCGGAUGUGAAAUCCCCGGGCUUAACCUGGGAAUGGCAGUGGAAACUGGGGGACUUGAAUUGAGCAGAGGGGGGUGGAAUGCCGCGUGUAGCAGUGAAAUGCGUAGAGAUGCGGCGGAACACCGAUGGCGAAGGCAGCCCCCUGGGCUUAAAUUGACGCUGAGGCACGAAAGCGUGGGGAGCAAACAGG
rnacentral:rRNA from 1 species